rnacentral:rRNA from 1 species
GGGUGCGAUCAUACCAGCACUAAUGCACCGGAUCCCAUCAGAACUCCGAAGUUAAGCGUGCUUGGGCGAGAGUAGUACUAGGAUGGGUGACCCCCUGGGAAGUCCUUGUGUUGCACCCC